AACUGGGUUGGGGGACGUGUUAGACCAGGCAGGCCUGGGGCACGAGUCCCUGGAGUAACACGGAGUGAGAAGCGCCCCCAGCCAGGGCCUAGCAGAGACCAGGGCAACCCCCACACUACCCAGCCCCACGCCAGGUCCCACGACACCUCACUGCCCCCAGCGCUGGGCUCGGCCACCCCGUCCCCUGAAACCAGCCACAGAAAUAAAGUGCAGAUCAGGGAGACACUGGGGGGAUGGGGUGCUGGAGGGCAGACCAAGGGCGGGCAGCUGGGGGGUCGCUGGUGGGUGCAAAGCUGGGAGACACUGGACAGGUGGGGGUGCUGGGGAGCACAUGUGGCAGCAGGAUGGCAUUGUAGGGGCAGGUGUUGCUAGCAGAUGCCGGAGGCUGGACAGACAUUGCUGGUGGGUACAGAAGGUGGGCAUUGCUGGGCAGCACUGGAAGCAAUGGGUAGGGGGUGGGUGUUGCUGGGCUGUACAAGAGAGGCAGGGGUUGCUGGGUUGUACAGGGGGCUGGGUGUUGCUGGGGGACACAGAGGUGGGUGUUGCUGGGUUGUACAGGGGGGCAGGUGUUGCUGGGUGGCUCAGAGGCGGGUGUUGCUGGGUUGUACAGGGGGCUGGAUGUUGCUGGGGGACACAAGUGGGUGUUGCUGGGUUGUACAGGGGGGCAGGUGUUGCUGGGUGGCUCAGAGGCAGGUGUUGCUGGGUUGUACAGGGGGGUGGGUGUUGCUGGGGUAUACAGGGGGGCGGGGGUGCUGAGGGACUCAGAGGUGGGCGUUGCUGGGUUGUACAGGGGGAGGGUGUUGCUGGGGGACUCAGAGGCAGGUGUUGCUGGGUUGUACAGGGGGGCGGGUGUUGCUGGGGGACUCAGAGGCGGGUGUUACUGGGUUGUACGGGGGGGCGGGUGUUGCUGGAUGGCUCAGAGGCGGGUGUUGGGGGUAUACACUGGGGGUAUGG